AGAGUUUGAUCCUGGCUCAGGAUGAACGCUGGCGGCGUGCUUAAUACAUGCAAGUCGAACGAAGAGUUUCUGUAGCAAUACGGGAGCUUCUUAGUGGCGAACGGGUGCGUAACGCGUUGGUGACCUGCCCCAAAGUGUGGGAUAACAGUUCGAAAGGACUGCUAAUACCGCAUGUGAUUAUCGGUUUUAGAAUCCGACAAUUAAAGCAGUAAUGCGCUUUGGGAGGGACCUGCGUCCCAUCAGCUUGUUGGUGAGGUAACGGCUCACCAAGGCUACGACGGGUAGGGGACCUGAGAGGGUGGUCCCCCACACUGGCACUGAAACACGGGCCAGACACCUACGGGUGGCAGCAGUAGGGAAUAUUGGGCAAUGGGCGAAAGCCUGACCCAGCAACGCCGCGUGCACGAUGAAGGUCUUCGGAUCGUAAAGUGCUUUUCUGAGAGAUGAGAAAGGACAGUAUCUCAGGAAUAAGUCUCGGCUAACUACGUGCCAGCAGCCGCGGU
rnacentral:rRNA from 1 species